rnacentral:rRNA from 1 species
UGAACGCUGGCGGCGUGCUUAACACAUGCAAGUCGAACGAAGCACUUUAAUUGAUUUCUUCGGAAUGAAGUUUUUGUGACUGAGUGGCGGACGGGUGAGUAACGCGUGGGUAACCUGCCUCAUACAGGGGGAUAACAGUUGGAAACGACUGCUAAUACCGCAUAAGCGCACAGGAUUGCAUGAUCCAGUGUGAAAAACUCCGGUGGUAUGAGAUGGACCCGCGUCUGAUUAGCCAGUUGGCGGGGUAACGGCCCACCAAGGCGACGAUCAGUAGCCGGCCUGAGAGGGUGAACGGCCACAUUGGGACUGAGACACGGCCCAAACUCCUACGGGAGGCAGCAGUGGGGAAUAUUGCACAAUGGGGGAAACCCUGAUGCAGCGACGCCGCGUGAGCGAAGAAGUAUUUCGGUAUGUAAAGCUCUAUCAGCAGGGAAGAAGAAAUGACGGUACCUGACUAAGAAGCACCGGCUAAAUACGUG